rnacentral:lncRNA from 1 species
GGAGCAUUGGAGGGAUGGGAGCUAAGUCAUAGAUUGUACAAGAACUAUUAGGAAAAACAUUUCAUCAUGAAUUUGAAAAUCUUAAUCAUCUGUAUCAUGAACAUGUUUAAUUUGGUUUAUGGACAAUUUAAUGGGUUAUUUUUGAAAAAUAACCAUGCAGUCUUACUAGCAGAUUUCAUAGAAGAAAUGAUAGAAGAUAGUCAAUGUUCAAUAAUUAUUUUGGAUUUAAAUGAAAAAAAUCAGGAUUUCAGCCUUGUUGUGUCACAGCUACAAGAAAAUUUUAGGGAUAUUUCAUAUCACAAUGAUCUUAAAAGCCUUUUCGAUUUCGUAAAAGAAGUAAAAUUCAAAAUAUGCAUUCAUCAAAUUUUUAUAGGUUCAAUUGAAGACAUGAAAGUGUAUAUAGAACAG